UAUUUACACUAUUGAAGGCACCUGAGAUGUCAAAAAAUACAGACAAAAGAUAUUGAUUACUUGCUAAACAUUGAUGCGCAUCAAGCUGUAACUGCGCUAUACUCUCCCUAGAAGACCGACCUUUGCGAAAACCAAACUGAUUAUUAGGCAAAAGACAAUUUUGUUCUAUAAAGAACUCGAGACGUUGUUUUAGAAGCUGCUCAAAUAUCUUCCCAAUACAAGACGUGAGAGCUAUAGGUCUAUAAGAGUCAGGUAACAUUUUAUUUUUGUCUGGCUUUAAAACUGGGAUUAAACAGUCUGUUUUCCAUUCUGGAGGAAUAGUAUUCUCCUUCCAUAGGCGAUUAAGAUUAUUUAAAAAGAUGUUGAGACUGUGGCAAUUAAGUUUUUUGAGUAAAAUAUAUGGAAUGGUAUCGAGACCGAAAGAUGUAUCUCUUCUAGUAAAUAAAGCGGAUUUUAGUUCUUGUAAAGAAAAAGGCUCUAUCAAAUAUUUAUUACUAUCAUUAACAACAUUUACAUAGUUAGUUAACUCAUUUGAUACAAAGUCAGAAGUAUACUUUUGUAGAAAAUCUGGAAUCCAACUAUCAUUCAACACACUGUCAGGAAUGUAAGUUUUGUUAAAUUUGCGCAUGUAUUUCCAAAUUGAAGACAAAGGAGUACAACGAUUAAAUGAAUUGCACAAGCCUAUCCAGCUAUUUCUUCUUUCACUUUUUAAGAUAAGUUUUUUUAAAGCCCGCAAUCUCUUAAACUCCACAUAAUUUUCAUUUAAAAUAUAUUAUAUUUAAGAUAUUUAAAAGAUUUUUGUGAACAAGAACUAGUAACAUUAUUACUAUUAGAACUUUUGGAAAACAGACAGCUAGGGAUUGACUGCUUGGCAGCAGAAAGUAAAAUAUUACAAAAGGAAUUAAAAGCAUCUAUUGAAGAUAAAGUGUCAAAUUUAACAUCAUCCAAAUAAGAAACAACUAAGUUACUAUACAUAUUCCAAUUCACCUGCUUAUAAUUAGGGGAGAUGAUAACUACUGCCCAGAGGACUGUCAAUAACUGACCAGUCACAUAAAAGAGCCAAAGAUGGAGUUACCAAAGUCAAGUCAAGAGCAUUAGGACGCCAAGAUGGAGAUCCUAUUGUGGUAGCUUGACCAUUAUUCAGAAUAACAAGACCAUUCUCAUCUAUAACCUCUAAAACAUCUUUACCUCGAGGCAAUGUAUCAACACAUCCCCACAACAUGUGAUGAGCAUUGAAAUCACCUGCAAAUAUCAUUGGCUCUGGAAUGGACUUAAUUAAACUGUUUAAAUUGUUUUUAUUAAAUGGAGGAUUUGAAUUGGAAGGACUGUAAAAACUCACAAUACUCAGUUCUUUGUUAUUAAUUUUAAUUUUAAUGCAAACAUUUUGUAGAGCACUAUCAAAAUAUGUAUUUAUGUUAGAAAAUGUGAUAUUAUUAUGAAUAAAAAUUGCUACACCA